rnacentral:tRNA from 1 species
GGCAUUGUGGCUCAGUGGAAAGAGCAUGGGUUUGAGAGACAGAGGACGUGGGUUCUAAUCCCGGCUCUGCCA